GGGAGUAUAACUCAGUUCGUAGAGUAUUGCUUUUGCAAAGCAAAUGUCAGAGGUUCAAUUCCUCUUAUUUCCA
rnacentral:tRNA from 1 species